AGCAAGCGAUGAUGAUGAUGACAGUAUGUCACUGUCCUGAAAAUAACUGAUGGUUUAAGUCACUACCUCAUCUGAUCUUGCG